CAUCUCCAUCUGGGCAGGCACCCGGUGAUGAUUGCAUAGCAACUUGAUAGGCCCCCGCGUCGCUCUCUCCCAAGGGCGACACGGGCGGCGGCGCCGUCGUCCCGUCCUCGGGUUCCUACACCCUUCCCGGUCUGGCCGCUGCCCGAGCUCGCCGCCGGGAAUCCGGUGGAGGGCAAGGACGGCAGCGGACGGGCGUCUUUCUCCCUCUCCAUGCCCGCGUCGUUCUCUCCCCCUCCCCUCUCUCCUUCAGUGCCGGCGACCGUCGGGCGGCGUGGGGGUCAAUCCGUCUCCUCCGCGGCCGGAUCCGGCAUCCCCACGGCCGGAUCGGGCUCCCCCACGAUUGGUGCGGCCAGAUCGGCCAGCGGCGGACCAACCUAGGGUUGGUGCGGCGAAUCGCCCGGCGGUGCUGCGAGGUGGCGGCCUACUCGACGGUGGCGACCGAUCUGGCUUGCCCCCCUGUGGGCUCGGUGACGCGGACAGCGGCACCAUUCCUCGAUGCCCGGCGUUCCCGCACCAAUGUUGCUCUUUUUAUUUUUCUAAUGAUGAGCCACUGAUGGUAUUGUUUUCUCGAUCCCUUUUGUUCUUGCUGACAAUGGGCAAUUUUACACUGUUAUUGUGCAGAAAGGAUUUGAUCCGGCGUCCUCAUUGGCAAAUGCACUGCGGAAGACGAACUGAUCCGGCGUCCUCAUCAGCAAACUUGUCUGUAUAAAAGGAUCAGAUGCCCUUUCAAAACACUUGAAUAAUUAUAGAUUAUUAAUGGCUAAGCAAAAUCGUUUCUGCUAGAGUGCACACUUUAUGCUGCAAAUGCCGAGACAUUGUCACAUCUUGUACUGCUGGCUAACUAUCUGUGUUCUCUCAUAAGAAUCAAAAUCGGUCACAAAACCAGAUGGUGAGUUUUGUUAUUUUUAUGUGUAUGUUUGAUCAUUUUAUAUGAGAAGAGCCAUUUCUUAUGGUCAUUGUUUGUUAUCUAAAAAUAAUCAUCUCUGCCCCUACAUAAACCAAUGUUUGUAAAAUAAUAUAUAGACUGACUGUGGACUGUGCUAUAUGUUUGCUUUUGUUACAAUGAUGAUAUUCUUGACUAACAUGUCUGCCCCUGCAUAACCCAAGUUUGCUGAUGAGGACAAUCUCUUGUUCCUCGCUGAGAACUGAAAUUUCUUCUCCCUAUCCCUUUGAUCUUGUCUGGCUAUUUCCCGUGAGAAAAGUAUUGUCAUAAGCUGCAUUUAAAAUUGAUAUUCACUUAGUCAUUUGUCGAGUGGAGCUAAGUGAAAUCUAUUUUUUAUGAGAUUAUUCACUUAAUCAUUUGUCGAGUUAAGGUAAGUGAAAUCUGUUUUUUUAUAAGAUUAUUCACUUAGUCAUUUGUCGAGUUUAAGUGAAAUCUGUUCUUUUUUAUGAGAUAUUGCAGACUUGCAGCUGCAGAUUAUGGAUUUAUAUUUUUUUUUCUUCACUAAGUAUUACCCUGAAGCCCCAUCUACUUGGUUGAUUUUAACCCCAAUAUAGAAGGUGGACAUGCAGAUAGAUGGCCAUGUAUCCUCACAGGAUACAGAUUGUCCAAAUUUUAGGCAUGGAAGAACAUGGAAGCUUGAGGUGGCAAUGGUAAAUUGACCGGAGCUGUCGUCGGCACCGUUGAGCUCUAGAACCCAGGUGCACCGAGUACUAUGUUAUGCCGAAUGGAGCCUGCUGGUCGGAGUGUGAGUGGAAGCCGCCGUCGGAGGUGGUCGACGACUGCGCGCUGGUUCCAGAACGUGUACAAGGAGGCUCGCAACGGGACAUCGCCAACCCCCAAGAACGAGUACAAGUUGUCUGUGCUAGGUACAUGGGGAUUCGAUUUAGCUUCCAUGGAUGUCAUUUCAUAGAUAUAUGAAUGGAUUGAUGAAGGAUGUUUCUGUUGUUCCUAGAACCACCAUUCUUCAGGGCAGCAGCGUUAGCAUUUUCACAAUAAGAGCAAGAUGACACACAUACUUCAAUAUGUUGCUUUGGAGCUGCGACGCUCUGGUCCUUGGAAGACCCAUCAGCCAGAACAGAGAGGGGAAGCAACAAAAAUGGAGGCAAGGAGAAGGAAGGAAUAUGUUGCAGCGCUGUUGCCCUGUGGUGCUCGCUACUGAUGUCUAAUGGCCUAGGAUUGAUGAAAACAAGGAUUGGAAGGAAUGGAUUCGCAAGGAUGAUUCCAUUUUCCUCAUUGUUGAGAUGGGUAUCCUACAAUAAUUACUAAGUACAUAUGUUGUUGAGAUUCAUUAAAGUAUCCAGUUUUCCCACUUUUCUUAUUUUA